rnacentral:rRNA from 1 species
UACAGAGGUCUCAAGCGUUGUUCGGAUUCAUUGGGCGUAAAGGGUGCGUAGGCGGCGCGGUAAGUCGGGUGUGAAAUCUCGGAGCUUAACUCCGAAACUGCAUUCGAUACUGCCGUGCUUGAGGACUGGAGAGGAGACUGGAAUUUACGGUGUAGCAGUGAAAUGCGUAGAGAUCGUAAGGAAGACCAGUGGCGAAGGCGAGUCUCUGGACAGUUACUGACACUGAGGCACGAAGGCCAGGGGAGCAAACGGG